rnacentral:rRNA from 1 species
UAAUUAAGCGGAGGAAAAGAAACUAACUAGGAUUCCCUCAGUAACGGCGAGUGAAGCGGGACUAGCUCAGGAUGUGAAUCUGCGCUUUUAUGGCGCCGAAUUGUGGUCUAUAGACUUUGACGUUAUCUGCCGGGCCAAGUUCCUUGGAAAAGGACAGCUGAGAGGGUGAGACUCCCGUCCGCCUGGUAGAAUGAGUCUUUGUCAACGAGUCGAGUUGUUUGGGAUUGCAGCUCUAAUUUGGUGGUAAAUUCCAUCUAAAGCUAAAUAUUGGUGGGAGACCGAUAGCGUACAAGUACCGUGAGGGAAAGAUGCAAAGAACUUUGAAAAGAGAGUUAAAGAGUACCUGAAAUUGCUGAAACGGAAGCGAAGGAAACCAGUGUUUGUUGGUUCAUAUUUCCCUGGCCACUUGUGGUUUGGGCGCUGUGAGCUUGCGUGGGUUUGCUUUGGUUGAUCCCUUUGGAAGAGCGCAGUCAGAGUUGAUGUCUGUUGCUAGCACUGGGUUUGACUAAUGCAGACGAAAUGGUUUUCUUUACCCCG